AAUUUAUUUUGAAAAGAGGGUUUUUUUUUUUUUUUUUGGCUCAUGGUUCUGGAGACUUGAGAAGUUCAAAAUUGGGCAGCAGCAUCAAGUAGGCUUCUAGGGAGGGCUUCAUGCUGUGUAGUAACAGGGCAGAAGGCAUCACAGGGUGAGGGGGGCAAGAAUGUGCCAGCUCAAGUCCAUCGUCUUCCUACAAAGCCACCAGUCCCACUCCCAUGAUGACCUAUUAAUCCAUUAACCCAUUAACCCAUGAAAAAAUUAAUUCAUUCAUGACAUCUAUGCCCAAAUCAUCUGUUAAAGACCCUUUCUCUUAAUAUUGCCACACUGGCAUUAUGUUUCAACAUGAAUUUUGGAGAAAAAAAAAAUUCAAACCAUAACAGGUUCCCUUUUACACACAUCCUUGCCCCAACACUUAUAUCUUGUCUUCUUUAUAACAACUUCUAUGGUUUGAAUGUGUUCCCUACAAAGCAUGUAUUGAAAACUUAGUCCCCAGUGCAACAGGGUUGAGAGAUGGUGACUUAUGGGAGGUAUUUAUGUCAUCAAGCCUCUACUCUCAUGAAAGGAAUGAGGCCAAUUAUAAAAGGUUUUAGGAUCAUAAGUUUGACAUUUUGCUCCCUUGCUCUUUACCUCUCUUGCCCUGCCAGGGGAUAAUGCAGUAAGAAGGCCCUUACCAGACCCUGAUACCUCAACGUUGGAUUUCCCAGUCUCCAGAACGCUGGAAUCCAGAGAGACUGUCUUUGAAUUCCUCAGGCUAGUCCACCCCUGCAAGGUAACCAUCCUCCCCUCUGGUUGUAGCAGGCAAAUUCUGCCCUCAGUUUAUUUCCUUCUUCCUACCACCUUGAAUCUCACUUUCCUUUCUCUUUCCCAUUCUACCUACAUCAUGGUAUUUUUCUUUUUUC
rnacentral:lncRNA from 1 species